UUCAGUUUAAUCUCUGAAAGUGUUCCAUAGGAACACAACAUUGAUUAUUCUUAUUUUUGGUCUCCGUGGCAGGGCCCCUGUGCUUGCGCAUGCCUUGCCACACUGUGUCAUCAGGCUUACACUACCCCUGAUAGACGCGAACACCC
rnacentral:snRNA from 1 species